rnacentral:rRNA from 1 species
AGAUGUUGGGUGUCAGUCUCGCAACGNAGCGCAACCCUUGUCCGUAGUUGCCAACAGGAGAGGCUGGGGACUCUACGGAGACUGCCGGUGUGAAACCGGAGGAAGGUGGGGAUGACGUCAAGUCCUCAUGGCCCUUACGCCUGGGGCGACACACGUGCUACUAUGGAGAGGACAGCGGGAAGCGACCGUGCGAGCGGAAGCGAAUCCCGUAAACCUUUUCUCNGUUCGGAUUGGAGUCUGCUACUCGACUUCANGAAGGUGGAUUCGCUAGUNAUCUCGGAUCAGCAUGCCGCGGUGAAUACGUUCCCGGGCCUUGCACACAUCCGCCCGUCAC